rnacentral:rRNA from 1 species
UACGUAGGUGGCAAGCGUUGUCCGGAUUUAUUGGGUUUAAAGGGUGCGUAGGCGGCUUUGUAAGUCAGCGGUGAAAUACUCUAGCUUAACUAGAGGGGUGCCAUUGAUACUGCAGAGCUUGAGUACAGAUGAGGUAGGCGGAAUUGACGGUGUAGCGGUGAAAUGCAUAGAUAUCGUCAAGAACACCGAUAGCGAAGGCAGCUUACUGGGCUGUAACUGACGCUGAUGCACGAAAGUGUGGGGAUCAAACAGG